rnacentral:lncRNA from 1 species
AGAGGUUGUGUUUGUGUAUCCUUCUGUAAAGAGGUUAUGUACUGUCUGUUAAAGAGGUUGUGUGUGUAUCCUGUCUGUUAAAGAGGUUGUGAUGUGUAUCCUGUCUGUUAAGAGGUUGUAGUGUAUCCGUCGUAAAGAGUUGUGUAUCUGUCUGUAAAGAGGUGUCUAUCCUGUCUGUAAAGAGGUUGGGUAUCCUGCCUGUUAAAGAGGUUGUGUUGUGUAUCCUGUCUUUUAAAGAGGUUGUGUAUCCGUCUUGUUAAAGAUGUGUGUAUCCUGUCUUAAAGAGGUUGUGUAUCCUGCUGUUAAAGAGGUUGUGUUUUUGUAUCCUGUCUUUUAAAGAGGUUGUGUGUCCCGCCUGUUAAAGAGGUUGUGUACCUGUCUGUUAAAGAGGUUGUCUAUCCUGUCUGUUAAAGAGGUUGUGAUGUGUUGUGUAUCCUGCCUGUUAAAGAGGUUGUGUUGUGUAUCCUGUCUGUUAAAGAGGUUGUGUAUCCUGUCUGUUAAAGAGGUUGUGAUGUGUUGUGUAUCCUGUCUGUUAAAGAGGUUGUGAGGUGUUGUGUAUCCUGUCUGUUAAAGAGGGUUGUGAUGUUAUCCUGUCUGUUAAAGAGGUGUGAUGUUUUGUAUC